rnacentral:sRNA from 1 species
UAUCAUAAAGUCACAAAACCAUGAUAAGUGGAAUUCCAUUGCAGAAGACAUUGAACUGUGCUUAUUUUGAAGAAUAGAGAAAGGAACUGAACUCCACCGAGUAUGCCCUUUAGUGUUUACCACUACCUUAGGGAAUAAACAGUACUCUCAUCCUAUGUACGGUAUAUAGCUGUUGGCUACCUUAGUGGUCAACACAUUAAUUUGCUUGCUGAAGGUCACAUAGCUGGUAAAUUGAAUCAGAAUUUGAACCCAGUUCUUUGUGACUCCAGAGCACUUUCCACAGCUCCACAAUGCCUUCACAGCCCUUGAGUUACUUUUCAAAUUAUAGUAUUACUUUCCUACCUAAGUCCCUCUUUGUAUUUGCAGAGUUGCAUGCUGAGAAUUUGAAAAAUGAAGAUGAUGUAGACACUGGACUAUUAGGAUUCUGGACUCUACUUAUAAUAUCCCUAACUGCUGGAUUCUCCUGUUGCAGCUUUUCUUGGACAGUGACUUACUUUGAUUCUUUUGAACCAGGAAUGUUUCCUCCUACUCCUCUUUCACCUGCCAGGUUCAAGAAACUGACUGGACAUUCUUUCCACAUGGGCUAUAGCAUGGCGAUUUUGAAUGGCAUCGUAGCUGCUCUUACUGUAGCAUGGUGCCUCAUGUAAACCCACACUGGAGCGAUAUUGUUGGCAAAACUUAAUCAUGAUUGUUUUGUAAUAACAAGAAGGAGCAUCACUGUCUACUCAGAAGACUGAGAAACCUGCUGUUCAUUAUGUAGUUCAGAUAUUUAUCACAAUCAUCCUCAUUAUGGAAGACCUUUUAAAGCAUUGUUUUAGAAUGUCUGAGUAUUAAGAUACAGAUUAAUUGGGAAUAUCUGAGUAUUAAGUUUUAAGUACUUUCUUCAGAGUAUAAGAUGUUUACCUCAUCUUUUUACUUUUGUGUGUGUAGUUCUUUCAAGUUGUAGGAAACAUUUUAAUGGAAUUUAAACUCAAAAACUUGAAUACAGGACAAUGCUUGCCUUUUCAUGUAUGUACUACAUUUUUUGCUAAGAAAUACUGAUAUUUCUGUUUAGUUGAGCUAGAAAUACUUCUUAUUUAUACAUUUAGGAAAGCAAAUAAUGCCUACUACUCCGACUUUUAUAGAAGCUACUUUUAAAUCAGAAUAUUUAAUUUUUGAUAUUCAUAUAAUUAAUAGAAGUUGCAUUUAUAUUUUUUAUGGGGCAUAGUUCCUUAUGUGUUUUUUAAUGUAUUUUCAUACUACAUAUUGAAUUUGUAUGUUUUUAAAAUUAUUACAUCUAGACAACUGUAAACAUUAUUUUUUUUAGCUAGUGCAAACCUAGUACCUGCCAUUUUUACUAAUUUUUUUCUUUAAAAAAAGCAAAAAAGCACAUUGACCUAAGUUUAAAAUUAAGUAAGUUUAUUUUUAAC